UUCCAGACUCCUACGGGAGGCAGCAGUGAGGAAUAUUGGUCAAUGGGCGCGAGCCUGAACCAGCCAAGUCGCGUGAGGGAUGACGGCCCUACGGGUUGUAAACCUCUUUUGUCGGGGAGCAAAUUCCGUUACGUGUAGCGGAGUCGAGAGUACCCGAAGAAAAAGCAUCGGCUAACUCCGUGCCAGCAGCCGCGGUAAUACGGAGGAUGCGAGCGUUAUCCGGAUUUAUUGGGUUUAAAGGGUGCGUAGGCGGACUGUCAAGUCAGCGGUAAAAUCGGGGGGCUCAACCUCGCUCCGCCGUUGAAACUGGCGUUCUUGAGUGGGCGAGAAGUAUGCGGAAUGCGUGGUGUAGCGGUGAAAUGCAUAGAUAUCACGCAGAACUCCGAUUGCGAAGGCAGCAUACCGGCGCCCAACUGACGCUGAAGCACGAAAGCGUGGGUAUCGAACAGGAUUAGAUACCCUGGUAA
rnacentral:rRNA from 1 species